CGGCAAAGCUCAAAUUUGAAAUCUGGCACCUUCGGUGUCCGAGUUGUAAUUUGUAGAAGGUAACUUUGGAAUUGGCUCUUGUCUAUGUUCCUUGGAACAGGACGUCACAGAGGGUGAGAAUCCCGUGCGAUGAGAUGUCCAAUUCUAUGUAAAGUGCUUUCGAAGAGUCGAGUUGUUUGGGAAUGCAGCUCUAAGUGGGUGGUAAAUUCCAUCUAAAGCUAAAUAUUGGCGAGAGACCGAUAGCGAACAAGUACAGUGAUGGAAAGAUGAAAAGAACUUUGAAAAGAGAGUGAAAAAGUACGUGAAAUUGUUGAAAGGGAAGGGCUUGAGAUCAGAUUGGUAUUUUGCGUUCCUUCCUCUCGUGGGUUGGUUCCUCGCAGUUUACCGGGCCAACAUCGGUUUGGAUGGUAGGAAAAUGACAGUUGAAUGUAGCACUACUUCGGUGGUGUAUUAUAGCUUCUGUUGAUACUGCCUGUCUAGACCGAGGACUGCGUCUUUGACUAGGAUGUUGGCAUAAUGAUCUUAAGUCGCCCGUCUUGAA
rnacentral:rRNA from 1 species